UACGGAGGGUGCAAGCGUUAUCCGGAUUCACUGGGUUUAAAGGGUGCGUAGGCGGCUAUGUAAGUCCGUGGUGAAAUCUCUGGGCUUAACCCGGAAACUGCCAUGGAUACUAUGUGUCUUGAAUGUUGUUGAGGUGAGCGGAAUAUGUCAUGUAGCGGUGAAAUGCUUAGAUAUGACAUAGAACACCCAUGGCGAAGGCAGCUCACUAAGAAAAUAUUGACGCUGAGGCACGAAAGCGUGGGGAUCAAACAGG
rnacentral:rRNA from 1 species